rnacentral:rRNA from 1 species
GUAUAGCAAUAGCUACUUGUAUCAUUAAUGAUGCAAGCUCGACUAUGUUGAAUAAAAUUCUAGGUAGAAUUAUGAUAAUGACAUUGUCUGCCUAUGUGUCUUGACCAAAUUACGUGCCAGCAGUCGCGGUAAUACGUAGAAGACUAGUGUUAUUCAUGUUUAAUCGGUUUAAAGGGUACCUAGACGGUGAAUCAAGCUUUAGAAUAAAGAAGAAAAGGAACUAAUUCGCUAGAGUUACUUACGAGGGGGUAGUAAAGUACUGCUGGUGUAGAGAUGAAAUUCUGUCAUACCUCUUUUCGAAAGAAAAAUUAUGGCACAGGUAUAGGCGAAGGCAUCCCCUUAUGUGAUAACUGACGUUGAGGGACGAAGGCUUCGUGGAACAAACAGGAUUAGAUACCCUAGUAGUUGAAGCAGAAAAUGAUGAAUGUCAUAGAUUAGACGUCUAAGUUUAUUCUAUAAAUGAAAGUGUAAGCAUUCCACCUCAUGAGUAAUUUGGCAACAUUGGAAUUGAAAUCAUUAGACCGUUUCUGAAACCAGUAGUGAAGUAUGUUGUUUAAUUUGAUAAUACGCAAAAAACCUUACCACAAUUUGAAUCUUUAUAUUGUUUAUUGUUAUCUUAUUAAUUUUCUUAAAAAAACUAAUUAUAGCAAAAGCAUUUUAAAACAGGAAAAGAAAAUUAAUCAAGAGGCAAUAAGAUAUA